rnacentral:misc_RNA from 1 species
GAUGAAGAACGUAGCGAAAUGCGAUACUUGGUGUGGAUUGCAGAAUCCCGUGAACCAUCGAGUCUUUGAACGCAAGUUGCGCCCGAAGCCAUCAGGUUGAGGGCACGUCUGCCUGGGCGUCACAUAUCGUUGCCCAAUGCCUAUUGCAGUGCAAUAGGAAUUUCUAGGGCGAAUGAUGGCUUCCCGUGAGCGUUGUUGCCUCGCGGUUGGUUGAAAAUCGAGUCCUUGGUAGGGUGUGCCAUGGUAGAUGGUGGUCGAGUUAGAACGAUACCGAUCAUGUGCAUGCUCCCCAAAAUAUGGCCUCUAUGACCCACACGCGUCUUUUGACGCUCAUGACGAGACCUCAGGUCAGGCGGGGCUACCCGCUGAAUUUAAGCAUAUCAAUAAGCGGAGGA